AUGAUUGAUCUGCAUAUGAAGAACAGAAGCAUCAUUAUGAGAAACUCCACAACAUCAUCCAUGAUCAAAGAGAUUGUAUCACUGUGGUGGACAUUCGGUGGAGGAACUAAACUGGUGAUCAAAUCUGGUCCCACAGUGAAGCCCUCAGUGUCUCUGCUGCCGCCCUCUUCUCUGCAGAUCUCUGGAGACUCAGCCGCACUGCUCUGCCUGCUCAGCUCUUACUCUCCACAGGGGGCGCUGGUGAGCUGGACACUGGACGGGUCAGAGGUCACCGAGGGGGUUCUGACCAGCGCAGAGAGCCAGCAGGACGGCCGCUACAGCCGCAGUAGCGUCCUGACCCUCAGCAAAGCACGCUGGGAAGAGGGAGAGCUGUACGUCUGCAGAGUAACACAUGAUGGAGCUCCUCAUGAGGUCUCGUUCCACAAGAGCUCUGAGUGCUGAUGUUUCUCUCCUGAAGAUGAGCCGUAUCUGAGUGUCCUGUGUCAGGCAGGAUUCACAUGAGUCUAGUGCUGCAGCUGUAGUGCUUUACAACUCCAUACUGAAAGAGUGUGUGUGUGUGUGUGAUCUUUCAAUCUGUGUGUGUGUGUGUGUGUGUGUGUGUGAUCUUUCAAUCUGCUGUGUUUGCUGCAACAUUCAAUAAAGCUUCUCAACAAGUUCA